GUGGGGGAUAUUGCACAAUGGAGGAAACUCUGAUGCAGCGACGCCGCGUGAGUGAAGAAGUAUUUCGGUAUGUAAAGCUCUAUCAGCAGGGAAGAUAAUGACAGUACCUGACUAAGAAGCCCCGGCUAACUACGUGCCAGCAGCCGCGGUAAUACGUAGGGGGCAAGCGUUAUCCGGAUUUACUGGGUGUAAAGGGAGCGUAGACGGAAUGGCAAGUCUGAAGUGAAAUCCUGCGGCUUAACUGCAGAAUUGCUUUGGAAACUGUCAAUCUGGAGUGUGGGAGAGGUAAGCGGAAUUCCUGGUGUAGCGGUGAAAUGCGUAGAUAUCAGGAAGAACACCGGAGGCGAAGGCGGCUUACUGGACAAUAACUGACGUUGAGGCUCGAAAGCGUGGGAAGCAAACAGGAUUAGAAACCCGUGUAGUCC
rnacentral:rRNA from 1 species